GUGCUUACUUUGGUAGCACAUAUACUAAAAUUGGGAUGAUACAGGGAAGAUUAGCAUGGCCCCUGCACAAAGAUAACACAUAAAUUUGUGAAGUGCUAUAUAUUUUU
ensembl:snRNA U6 U6 spliceosomal RNA